rnacentral:rRNA from 1 species
GAUGAACGCUAGCGGCAGGCCUAAUACAUGCAAGUCGAACGGUGUCUUCGGACAUAGUGGCGCACGGGUGCGUAACACGUAUGCAACCUACCUUACAUUGGGGGAUAGCCUUUCGAAAGGGAGAUUAAUACCGCAUAAGACAGUAGCUGGGCAUCCAGCAGCUGUUAAAGAUUUAUCGAUGUAAGCUGGGCAUGCGUCCAAUUAGCCAGUUGGUGAGGUAACGGCUCACCAAGGCAAUGAUUGGUAGGGGAACUGAGAGGUCAAUCCCCCACACUGGCACUGAGAUACGAGCCAGACUCCUACGGGAGGCAGCAGUAGGGAAUAUUGGGCAAUGGACGCAAGUCUGACCCAGCCAUGCCGCGUGCAGGAUGAAGGCGUUAUGCGUUGUAAACUGCUUUUAUACAGGAAGAAACGACUCUUGCGAGAGGCAUUGACGGUACUGUAUGAAUAAGCACCGGCUAACUCCGUGCCAGCCGCCGCCGUAAAAC